rnacentral:rRNA from 1 species
CACGUAGGGCGCAAGCGUUGUCCGGAAUUAUUGGGCGUAAAGAGCUCGUAGGCGGACUGUCACGUCUGCUGUGAAAAGCUGGGGCUUAACCCUGGCCUUGCAGUGGAUACGGGCAGACUAGAGGUAGGUAGGGGGGGAAUGGAAUUCCUGGUGGAGCGGUGAAAUGCGCAGAUAUCAGGAGGAACACCCGUAGCGAAGGCGGCACUCUGGGCCGAUUCUGACACUGAGGAGCGAAAGCGUGGGGAGCGAACAGG